UAUGAUUAGGCACAUAAUAGGCAAAGGAAAUUUAACCAGAAAGUUAUCUUUAUCUCUUACUGUCUUCAACCUAACUUUUAUUCUCUGAAAACAUUGGGGUUCAUUGGGAAGAAAAGGAGAGAAAAUGUAAAGAGAAAAUAGCAGAAAACUGUAAUGAGAUGUAAAUGAAGCUAUGGAGAAGGUUGACCAAAUUAAGUUCUCUAAUCUUCAUCCCUACACACACACACACACACACUUCUAAUAUAUAUAUAUAGCUGUCCAACACAGGCCAGACAUUGCCCCCUAAGAAGAGUUACUCUGAUUAGACUGUGUGAAUUAGCUAAUAGUCAAUAAUAUGCAAACUUCAGACAAGUCUGACAAUAAGCCCACUGAAGGGACUUUCCUGUGUGGUAGGGCAAGGCCCAGAGACCACACUUGAAGUGAAUGAAUUUGCAUUAUGCUUCACUUUCCCUCCAACUCUUUAGUGCUCUGCUUGAAGAGUAGUAACAAGUCUACAACCUGGACACGAAAAGCAGAAAAAGGAGGUAAAGAAGCCCAGCUUAUCCAGAAACUGAGGAAUACUCCUACAAGAACAUUGAGUAAACCACAACUUUGCAACUCAUUUCCUUAACUAGGAACAUAAAGCUCAACAAAAAGCCACAGAAAGAUGAACAGAAGAAUGAUGCAACAUGCGAUAUACAUUAUGGCUGCUUACCGGUAUUACUACUGGACUUGGGACACAGUAUGAAGGCAAAGACUCAUGGCUAGGCUGCUGUGUUGUCUAAGGUGCUUUUGGCUCUAAGUGUCAGAAAACCCAAUUCAAACUGGCUUAAACAAUGAGAAAAUGUAUUAUUUCAUGGAACAGAAGCCCAGAGGAAGGACAGCUACAAAAUUGGUUGAAUCAGUGAUUUAUUGAUGUCAUAAGGAACCCAGGUUCUUUUUUGCCUUUUGAUUUUGUUGUCCACAGCAUUGACUUCACCUAAGGCUGGUUGCCCUAUGGUCAAUAAUAGCAAACUGAAGCAAGGGGCACAUAUGUUCUUCUUUGUUGCUACCCAGCCAGAAAGAGAAAUGCUCCUAUCCUCUUCCAUUCUUUCUGAGCCAAAUUAGGUCACAUGUUCAUGCCUGGAGGGUGGAGGGGAAGGUAACCAGGGCAAUGUCACAUGUUGCUUGUCUUAGAAAAAAACAAGAUUCCUAGAGUUGGAGACGGGGUAAAUUUCUCCUGAGUCAAUCCUACGGCUAACUAAGGAAUUUAAUAACUGAAUAAAGUCAGCCUUUGGUUAGCAAGGAGGAUGAAGUUUGAUGAGAAAACAACCGACAGUGUCUACUAUACAGCACGUAUUCAGCUGAAGCACAAUCACAUCUGCCAACUUGAUUAUUUCUGCUACACUUUUCCUGGGGAUCCUUCCACAAAGACAAUGUAUUGAGAUGGUAAAAUUCAUACUCUCCGUUGCAUCAUGAGUUUCAAUCUUAAUUCUGAAAUCUGUUCAUGAGCAAGUUGUUUCAAAUCUUGAGAGACUAGAUAUACAAAUGGACAAUGGCCAGACCAUACAUAGAAAAUAAAAUUCUGACCCACAACCCAAGGAAACCAGUCCAGAAAGUCAGUCUACUAUCUACAGUAACCAGUUCAGGAAGUCAGACUACUAUGUCUAGCAGGCAGUCCUUGAAAUAAACAAUAACUCCCAUUGGCCCAAAAUGGCCAGGGCUUGAUUAAUAACUGACAACUUCUACAUUUUUGCCCCUCACCCACCUUGGCUUCCAACUUAGGACCAACUAGAGAAGGCCGACUACGUACAUCUGAACAAUCACAUAGGAUGCCCCACUUCUAGUUAUCUCACCUGCAGCUUCCCCAUGCCAACAGCCUCCAGUUGGGGUGCACCUGAAGCCUUCCCUUUCUUCUGCUAUAAAACUUUCCCACUCCUCUGCCUGCUAGAAUCUCUGCCCAGUGCAAGUGAUGGUGGCCAACUUCCUCACUGUAGCAAGUUCUCAAUAAACAGUCUUUGCUUGUUACCA